AGAGUUUGAUCCUGGCUCAGGACGAACGCUGACGGUGUGCUUUAGGCAUGCAAGUCGAACGAGAAAGCCCUUCGGGGUGAGUAAAGUGGCGAACGGGUGAGUAACACGUGGGCAACCUGCCCCUCGCAGGGGGACAACCGGAGGAAACUCCGGCUAAUACCCCGUACGCUUGUUGGAUCGCAUGGUCCGGCAAGGAAAGGUAGCUUCGGCCAUCCGGCGAGGGAUGGGCCCGCGUUGCAUUAGCUAGUUGGUGGGGUAACGGCCUACCAAGGCGACGAUGCGUAGCUGGUCUGAGAGGAUGAUCAGCCACACGGGGACUGAGACACGGCCCCGACUCCUACGGGAGGCAGCAGCAAGGAAUUUUCCGCAAUGGGCGAAAGCCUGACGGAGCAACGCCGCGUGCGGGAUGACGCUUUUCGGAGUGUAAACCGCUGUUCGUGGGGACGAAGCACUGACGGUACCCACGGAGGAAGGCCCGGCUAACUACGUGCCAGCAGCCGCGGUAAUACGUAGGGGUCGAGCGUUGUCCGGAAUCAUUGGGCGUAAAGCGCGUGUAGGCGGUCCGGUAAGUCCGCUGUGAAAGUCGAGGGCUCAACCCUCGAAUGCCGGUGGAUACUGUCGGGCUAGAGUGCGGAAGAGGCGAGUGGAAUUCCUGGUGUAGCGGUGAAAUGCGCAGAUAUCAGGAGGAACACCUAUUGCGAAGGCAGCUCGCUGGGACGUUACUGACGCUGAGACGCGAAAGCGUGGGGAGCAAACAGGAUUAGAUACCCCGGUAGUCC
rnacentral:rRNA from 1 species